GAUGAACGCUGGCGGUGUGCCUAAUACAUGCAAGUCGAACGAGCUCUUCGGAGCUAGUGGCGGACGGGUGAGUAACACGUUGGUACCUGCCUCGAAGUGGGGAAUAACUGCCCGAAAGGGUGGCUAAUACCGCAUGUGACCGCAAGGUUAAAGCAGUAAUGCGCUUCGACAGGGGCCUGCGUCCCAUUAGCUUGUUGGUAGGGUAAAAGCCUACCAAGGCGACGAUGGGUAGCUGGAUCGAGAGGUUGACCAGCCACACUGGGACUGAGAUACGGCCCAGACUCCUACGGGAGGCAGCAGUAAGGAAUCUUCCAAUGGACGAAAGUCUGAUGGAGCAACACCGCGUGCAGGAUGACGGCCUUCGGGUUGUAAACUGCUUUUAUAUGGGAAGAUUAUGACGGUACCAUAUGAAUAAGCACCGGCUAACUACGUGCCAGCCGCCGCCGUAA
rnacentral:rRNA from 1 species